rnacentral:lncRNA from 1 species
GUCGUGGUGCGUUCAAGGAUUGGCUGAGAUCGCAGAGCCCCUUCGCCUAGAGCGGGAGAUUUACUAGGCUAGUCGGGGGAGAGUUCCCGCGUUGCUGCGGCUGUGCGACCAGCGUGAGGUCCUUCCCUUCUAGGCUAGCCAUGGAGCGGUGCCAGACGGUGAGGGCCCUUCUGAAGGCCUGGGAGAUGGCAUUCCUUCAAGAACACAAAAGGAAACCCAACAAGAAUGAUGUGGAGUCAGCACCAGAGGAAAUGAAAGGUGAGUAUGUGGCAAAAAACAUCUUCCAAGGUGAACCAGCCUGGGUCAGAAAUGGAGUGGGUCAAAACUUCUCUGCUGAUCAGGAGUAUGGACUGGCCCCAUGGAUAGCCACUGCACUUUCAGGCUGGGCAAGAUAGGGAGAAUCCAGCCUUUUUAUUGGGGGUUGGGGAGAGGCAAUUGGGGUUAAGUGACUUGCCUAUGGUCACAUGGCUCCCAUAGCCUGAUUUGAACUCAGGUCCUCCUGACUUCAGGCUCAGUGCUCUAUUCACUGUGCCACCUAGCUGCUCCUAGACCUUCAUCUUUAAAAAAAAAAAAUCCUCCAACAAUUGUGUGUGGAGUGAGCAUAACCACAAUCUGCCUGGGAGGCAGAGCCAUUGAUUGUAGGUAAGCCAACAUCUUAUGCUAGAUUUGUCUUCCCAAAGCAAGACUGCUCCUUCUGUUCAUGUGGUGCUUUUGUGCCAAGGUUCUCUUACUCCAGUAACAUUGUGUACUUUAGAUAGCCGACUCAAAGGGAGCUGGAGAGGAAGGGAGAGGAGGAAGCAAAAAUUCUCAUUUUAGGUGACUCCUGGCUUUGGAUCAGAAGACCUUGGUUUCUUGGGAAGCAACAUCAACCAAGAAUAGCUUGUUUUAGGGGAUGGGGAAGAGGCUGUGUUAAGCUAGAUAGGACCAGCAUAUAUGACAGGAAUGAUGCCACAAGCUAUAUGAUCGGACAUGAUUAGCUACAACCCUGAUGGAGCGGACAAAAUCUGGGACAGCCAGAUACCAAGUCGUAUUUGACAGCUGGAAGGUCCUUUGGGGCGCCGAAUAGAUCUGGCCUUUAUUGUGCUUCUUAGUCUCUCCUUCCUUUUGUGCCAAGACCCUGACUUCCCCUUUCCUCCCAACCAGAACUCUACCGAGAAUACCGAGCCCUAAGGAGAGGCCAGGAGUCAGCAGGCCUUCCACAGCCCACCAACUCAGGCCAGAAGGGUGCACCUGCAGAACAGGUAAAUGGAAGGGGCCCAGAGCUGCAGUGAAUAAGCCUUUGAUUUUCUCACAGAAACUUGCUCAAGCUUGCUAUUCCCAAAGAAAGGGUUAAAUUAACACUGAUUAAAGGGGAAAUGGGAUGCUUUUAGGGGAAACUCCUCAUUAUAGACAGCA